GAGGAGAGAUAGGUCAACUAGGUCAACCCCCCCCCCCCCCACACACACCAUGAAGACCCUUCAUCAUCAGUGAGAAUAGCACCAGAUGCGUCAGCAACACACACGCUUCUCUUAGUGCAGAUUGAGUAACGCUGACUAGCCUGGACCAGCUCCAGGCCCGACUGGACUAGCUCCAGGCCCGACUGGACUAGCUCCAGGCCCGACUGGACUAGCUCCAGGUCCGACUGGACUAGCUCCAGGCCUGACACUCAGGAGCCGAGGACAGGCAACACAAUACUUCACACCAACUCAGGAGGAACAUUGACAAGCUAACGUAUUAAUGAAGGCUUAGUUCAUGUUGAGUGUGCUAUCUGACACAGGUCCGCUCCUGGACUCUAACCCUCCUGGGCCAGGCUCUCCUCACCCGCCAAGGACCAGUAGAAUAGCAGCUAUAUUCUCGUAUAUUAACCAGGAUAAGCAGAGUUCAGUAUGGCUAGGUGUGCUUGGACACGGCUGCCGAGCGAAGACACCCGUUCCAACCAGGAGGACUUCCAUGAGAUGCACUGUGUGCAGAAGUCCGCCUGUCUGGGGUCUUCUUGAUUCAAAGCUGUGACAGAAGGCUGGUUGUGACACUGUCUGUGUCAGCUGCUCUGCUUCCCAGCAUGCACGGCGAAGGUGAGGACAUCCACAACACAUCACCCCUACCUUCCUUUCCCAGACCAGGCACUUGAUUAGACCCCCCGCAUGGCAUGCCUCCUCGCCAACCGCCCUGGGCACAUAACUGCUCCACUGGGAGGCAGAAAUGCUGAUUACUUAAAUAUGUAGCUUCCUGUUAAGGGUGGUCUUUUCCUCCCCCUCCCCUACUCCUCCCCUCCCCCUGCCCUCCCCUCAUCCUCAUUAUUGCACUAGAGGAAAGGAACAUGGUGUUCUGUGGCUCGUCAACCCCCAGCCUGUCUCGGAGAGGACUGGAGGAUCCUCGAGGAUC